GCAAGGUCGAGCGGACCGAAUGGGAGCUUGCUCCUUUAGGUUAGCGGCGGACGGGUGAGUAACACGUGGGCAACCUGCCCUGCAGACUGGGAUAACUUCGGGAAACCGGAGCUAAUACCGGAUAACACCGAAAACCGCAUGGUUUUCGGUUGAAAGGCGGCUUUUAGCUGUCACUGCAGGAUGGGCCCGCGGCGCAUUAGCUAGUUGGUGAGGUAACGGCUCACCAAGGCGACGAUGCGUAGCCGACCUGAGAGGGUGACCGGCCACACUGGGACUGAGACACGGCCCAGACUCCUACGGGAGGCAGCAGUAGGGAAUCUUCCGCAAUGGACGAAAGUCUGACGGAGCAACGCCGCGUGAGCGAAGAAGGUCUUCGGAUCGUAAAGCUCUGUUGUCAGGGAAGAACAAGUGCCGUUCGAACAGGGCGGUACCUUGACGGUACCUGACGAGGAAGCCACGGCUAACUACGUGCCAGCAGCCGCGGUAAU
rnacentral:rRNA from 1 species